GACGAACGCUGGCGGCGUGCCUAAUACAUGCAAGUAGAACGCACAGUUUAUACCGUAGCUUGCUACACCAUAGACUGUGAGUUGCGAACGGGUGAGUAACGCGUAGGUAACCUGCCUGGUAGCGGGGGAUAACUAUUGGAAACGAUAGCUAGUACCGCAUAAUAUUAAUUAUUGCAUGAUAAUUAAUUGAAAGGUGCAAUUGCACCACUACCAGAUGGACCUGCGUUGUAUUAGCUAGUAGGUGAGGUAACGGCUCACCUAGGCGACGAUACAUAGCCGACCUGAGAGGGUGAUCGGCCACACUGGGACUGAGACACGGCCCAGACUCCUACGGGAGGCAGCAGUAGGGAAUCUUCGGCAAUGGACGAAAGUCUGACCGAGCAACGCCGCGUGAGUGAAGAAGGUUUUCGGAUCGUAAAGCUCGGUUGUAAGAGAAGAACGGGUGUGAGAGUGGAAAGUUCACACUGUGACGGUAUCUUACCAGAAAGGGACGGCUAACUACGUG
rnacentral:rRNA from 1 species